GGCUUAUUGGUCUAGAGGUAUGAUUCUUGCUUCAGGUGCAAGAGGCCCCAGGUUAGAGUUCUGGAUGAACCC
rnacentral:tRNA from 1 species